GGUCUUAUGGUCUAGUGGUAUGAUUCGUAAGUCCCAGACACUCAAUUUAUCUUGUGAUACACAACUAACAUUACAACAGUCGCUUAGGGUUUACUCUGAGUUCUACAUUGCGAGAGGCCCCGCGUUCGAAUCGCGGUAAGACCC